rnacentral:lncRNA from 1 species
GAAGAGCCAGAUCUCGGCAGGCUGCUGGGCAGGGGAGGUGGGAAAAGUAAACCAGUGUGCAGUCGGGGAGUGGGAUGAUAUAGACUAUUGUGUUCAGACCUCACCUGUGCCCACUGUCUCCUCUUGUGGCAGGGCAGGGCACUAAAGGAACAACAGGCAGAAUGCUGCUUUUCUAGUGUUCAGAAUGGCUAGUUCAGGUUUACUUUUCUGGCUUAGUUUGGACAAGCUCCUGUUAAUCAAGCUGUGGGAUGGAACUUCCGGGGACAGCAAAAGGUGCUAUUUUCCCUCCUGCAGGAACUCUCUUCAAAUUGCAAAAAGUACAAGUUACCCCCACAGAAUGCUGGGAAUCAUGCUUGUUACCUUCUUGCUUCAAUCCUCUAGUGUAUUUGGUAAGCACUUUAGAAGCCUUUAAAAUAGUACUCUAAGGCCAGGUAACGUGGUGUGCCUCUAGUCCCAGCUACUAGGGAGGCUGAGGCGGGAGGAUCACUUAAGCCCAGGAGUUUGAGGCUGCAGUGAGCUAUAUUAUACCUAUGAAUAGUCAACACACUGAAGCCUGGGCACCACAGGAAGAUUCUCUCUCCACAAAAAUUAAAUUAAAUUAAGUUAUUUUAAAGAGUGCUCUAAGCCAUGGGUGGGCGUGGCUUGCCUUUUCAAGCUAGGCUCUAUCUUUAUAUAAAUGAAUUGAGCCACGCCUCAACACCCCACUAUCCCCAAUCAGCUUUUCAGAGUUAUCACAUACACAUACACACGCGCACGCGCGCACACACACACACACACACACACACACACAUUCUUUUUAGCCUUGGAGCACAGGUAAGGCUGGGGAAGAAAGAUUUUGGGAAGUCUGAUUGUGUAUGAUUUUUGCUCCUAAUAGCUACUUUUAAUUUAACACCUAUUCUCUGCCAGACACUUUGCAUGUACUAUUUCUCCUCCACAUAACUGCCCUUAAAGGAUAUUAUUAUCUCUAUUUUACAGAUGAAAAAAACUGAGCUCCAGAGAACUUAAGUAACUUGUACAAGGACAUAAGAAAAUAAUAAUCUGAAACUUGGAAAUAAGCAAAAGAAGAAUGACUGCCGGCAUCUCUUUUUAGUAUCAUCAGAAGCUCUACCUAACAGGCCAUCCUACUUCCAAGGAUUAUUUAAAUCUCUAGGGAGAGUACCUUUGAUUAAUUAUUUCUUAUGAUUAGGGCCUAUAUUCUGUGAAAAUACAGAGUCCAAGUUUUAACUUUGUAGAUUAUUAAAUUAUAAAUUGUAUUUCUCCCAUAGAGAUGCAAAUUAUUUCUUUCUAUUAUAAAAGAUAAUCCCAAAGGUCAUAAUUUUAUCGACCAGUAAGACAUUACCCAGUUUUAUAUCUAACAAGCUCAUUUCAACUUUUUUUUUCUGAUAGGAUAAAUAAAUACCCAUUUUCCCCUCCCUCCCUCCCUCCCUCCCUCCCUUCCUUCCUUUUUUUUUUUUUUUUUUUUUUUCCGGAGUCUCGCUCUAUCUCCCAGGCUGGAAUGCAAUGGCAUGAUCACAGCUCACUGUAGCCUCAAUCUCCAGGCUCAAGUGAUCCUCCUGCCUCAGCCUCUGUAAGUAACUGGGACCACAGGCACAUGCUACAAUGCUCAUGCCACCACGCACAACUAAUGGAAAAAAAUUUAUAGAGAGAGGCCUUCCUAUGUUGCCUAGGCUGGUCUCAAACUCCUGGGCUCAAAAGUGAUUCUCCCACCUUGGCCUCCCAAAGUGCUGGGAUUACAGGUGUGAGCCACUAUGCCCAGCCAGUAAAUGCCCAUUUUCUUUUCUUUUCUUUCUUUUUUUGGAGACGGAGUCCAGCUGUAUCGCCCAGGCUGGAGUGCAAUGGCGUGAUCUUGGCUCACUGCAACCUCUGCCUCCCAGGUUCAAGUGAUUCUCCUGCUUCAGCCUCCGGAGUAGCUGGGAUUACAGGCUCCCGCCACCAGGCCUGGCUAAUUUUUGUAUUUUUAGUAGAGAUGGGGUUUCACUGUGUUGGCCAGGCUGAUCUCAAACUCCUGACCUCGUGACCCGCCUGUGUUGGCCUCCCAAAGUGCUGGGAUUACAAGUGUGAGCCACCGUGCCCGGCUGACCCAUUUUCAAAUGCUAUUAGAAUCACCUUUGCCAUCUUAUUUGUUCCCUCAUUAAUUAGUUAAACAAAUAUUUUACAUGAGCUCAUUAUAUGUUCAUAUGAGGGUGAACGUAAAGAAUUAUGAAGGGUUGAAGGUUUUACCCUACCUGUAAGUUAACAAGUUAGCCUGUCAUGGUUUAAUGGAUGCUGGCAGAAGACAUGAAACUCCUGGGUCAGAGACAAAGGACUUUAUGAUGAAUGGUACAGCAAGCAACAUGAACACCAGUGUAUUUGUGCCAGUUCCCCUUUCCUCUGCAAGUCCCAUAAGGGUGAUGUGGAUAGACCUAAGUAGAUGCCUAUACAUUCAGUGUGUCACAUUAUACUAAACUUAAGGAACUUGAAUCUUUUAUAAUGUUUAGUAAGCCUGAUUCCCCUUUUCUCCAGAGUGAGACACUAUCUCUACCUUCCAAAGCUAUUUGUUAUGUAAACAUCCUUGUAAGGGCAGCUUGGAACAAAGUACCUUGCUUGUAAGAUAUAUAGAAACUUAAGAGACCCAUGGAGAAUUAUCUCCCAACAGCCAAUUUUAAAAAAUUAUACCCUGGCCAGGGUGUAACAGCCUGUAAAUGACCACGCCUGGAUACUUCCUGGCUGCAAUGUCUGGGCUGUUUCCACCGUACUGAGAAAACCCAAGUCCCACUGCAUGUGACCAACAAAAGAAUCCCCCACUACUAUUAGCUCUUUGUAUCUUUUCCAACCUAGGGUGGAAGUGGCCUUGGUUUGAAAAAGAUGCAUCAAAGCACAAAAAACGUGGUAAUUAAUCAGUUUUAUUUCCAAAGCCCUACAUGUCUUGAGAUGCUUAAAAUACUUAUUGUGAUAAAAUUUUAAUAGAACCCUAAAACUACAAAAACUUUAAGGCAAUUAAAACACUAGUCUGUGAGCAAUUUAAGAGCAGGGACCAUGUUUUAUUUGUUUUUUGAAUCGUUGGAACCUAACACAGUGUCUGGUACCUAGUAGGUGUUCACCAAAAUUUUUGUCGAAUUAGUGAAUAAAUAAAUUAAGAGGGAGGAACACUCCUGUUUACCUCUUUCUUAUCCAGUUUCUCUUUGGUCCUUUCCUCUUCUAGAAAACAAAGCAGAUAUCUGUUGAACUCAUUUAUGCCCUUUGCUUCAGCUGCUUGUUCCAAUAACUUAUUCCAUAUGUUUAUUUCCUUUAGUGUGAAAAGAUUUGGCUCAAGUUUUCUUUUUUAUUUAUAGUUUCCUGAGUUUUCAGUCCUGUCCCUGCUCGCCUGUUCCCUUUCCCAUACACACACACCCGGGAGUGUGAAGGAGCAAGUGCCGACAGCUACAACCGCGAUUCAGAGGUUCUUGAAAGGGUUGCUGUUGUUUCUGGACAGUCAUCCUGGGCGGCUGUCCCCAGGCCAGCGAGGCCGACUGCUUAGCCUGCAGCCUGGGCCGCACUCCUGAGACACUCUGCCCCCAUCUGACUGGCCACGUGCCCUCUCGCUCCUCAGGUGAGUGCAGCCCAUAUGGUGAUAGAGCGAAAUGGGGACAGACCCACUGAGCUCCCACAGGGGCCUAGAAGUACUUGACAAAAGGCCGAGCUUGGAAGGGCACGGUGAGUCAAUCUGCUGGCCCAGAGGAAAACCAGAGAUUAGAGAUCUACGCUUAAUUAAUAGGCGGUGAGGAAGCCAUUUCCAGACUCACCCUGUACUUUCAGAAGCAAAUUGUGAAUUAUUGCCUCGAGAGAUAGGCUUUAGAGUGUAAAGUCCAUUUUUGUGUCAGUUGAGGAGCCUAAACAAAUGUUGAAUGGCACCACUUUCUCUUUUUCUUUAUUUCCUUUUUUUUUUGAGACAGGAUCUCAUUCUGUUGUCCAGGCUGGAGUCCAGCGAUGCAAUCAUGGCUCAGUGCAACCUUGAACUCCCGGGCUCAAGCCAUCCUCCCACCUCAGCCUCCCAAGUAGUUGGGACUAUAGGCAUGCACCAUCACAACUGGCUAAUUUUUAAAUUUUUUGUAGAGAGGGGGCUCCCUAUGUUGCGUAGGCUGGUCUCGAACUCCUAGCCUCAAGCAAUCCUCCCGCCUCGGCCUGGGAUUACAGGCGUGAGCCACUGUGCCCAGCCUAAUGACACAUUUUCUGAUUGGACAUUAGAAUGCCCAAGGGUCGAGCCUAGCAGUGUGCUCCUUCUGGGUGGUUUAAGGGAGGCAGAUGCUCUGUGGCUUCAGGGAUGUGUAGCACACCUAAGAGCCACAGAGUCACCCUUUCCUAGUACCCUAUGAGGCCACAUGUAAAGUGCCUCAGUCUGGGGUCAUCUUGUUUUCUCUCUUUUUUUUUUUCUUUUUAAUCCCCAUUUAGCUCCAAGCAAGAGAAGGAACUGGCCCUUCUUUUGCUUGUGCAAGGGUGGAUAAUGACUUGCAUAUUCCAGGAGAGUGGUGAGGCUCACCACCUUGAUAGCUACAUUUUGUCUGGGCUUCUCAAAGAAGGGAGGACGAGGAACAGGUUUUUGGCAGGUUUUGUUCCAGUUAGGGCUGGGCAGCAGUGAAACAGGCUGCCUGUCAAGUCCUGAGUUGUCCAAACUGCAGAAGGAAUUCUGCUUGAUAUAGGAGGCUGGAAUAGAUUAUGUCUAAAGUCUUUUCUAAAAGCACGGCUGAGGGUUUCCCCAAGUUCAGCUUUCUUAUAGGAGGGCAGUAUGGUGUGUUGAUCAAAAGCAGUGGCUGAGGCCAAUCAGUCUAGAUUUCAACUCUGCUACUUAUAGCCUAUGCUGUGUAGCCUUAGGCGAAAGUCUGUGCCUUCGUUUUUUCAUCUGUAAAAUAGGCUCAAUGACAGCAGAAUCUAUUUCAUGAGAGCUAUGCUGCCUCAUCUCAUGGAGCUGGUGUAAAAAAUAAGUGGAUUAGGCUAGGCACUGUGGCUCACGCCUGUAAUCCCUGCACUUUGGGAGGCUGAGGUGGUUGGAUGACUUGAGCUCAAGAGUUCAAGACCAGCCUGGGCAACAUAGUGAAACCCCAUCUCUACUAACAGUACAAAAAAUUAGGCUGCUGUGGUGGCGUGCACCUAUAAUCCCAGCUACUCAGGAGGCUGAGGUGAGAGGAUGCUUGAGUCUGGGAGGUGGAGGUUGCAGUAAACUGAGAUCGUGCCACUGCAUUCCAGCCUGGGUGACAGAAUGAGACCUUGUCUCCAAAAAAAAAAAAAAAAAAGGAGAAAGAAGAAAAAAAGAAAUAAGUGAGUUAAUACACAGAGUGUGUAGAACGAUACCUGGCCCAGAGUCUGAGAUUGAUAAAGAAUCACUAUUAUUAACUGUUUAAAACAAACGGGAGCUGGGCACGGUGGCUCACGCCUGUAAUCCCAACACUUUGGGAGGCCGAGGAGGGUGGAUCACCUGAGGUCAGGAGCUUGCGACCAGCCUGGCCAGCAUGGUGGCCUGUUUCUACUAAAAAUACAAAAACUGGCCAGGUGUGGUGGCAGGCCCCUGUAAUCCCAGCUACUUGGGAGGCUGAGACAGGAGAAUCACUUGAACCCGGGAAGCAGAGGUUGCGGGGAGCCGAGAUUGUGCCAUUACACUCCAGCCUGGGCGACAAGAGUGAAACUCCGUCUCAACAACAACAAAUGAACAAACAAAAAGGUUCUGAAUUCCCAUCUUCCCUGCGAUAAGUGGUGGGGUGUUUUCUGUCUUUUUUCCUCGUAACACAUCCCCCCAGAUUCAUGGGAACUGAGCAGGGCAGCUGGGCAGAGGAGGGAGAAGCAGAGACGUGAUGUGACAGCAGGAAGGUGGGAAAGAAUCAGCUCUAUCCUCCUACACAGUGCAAGUCACAGCUGCAACCAACCUUCUUGUUUGCAGUGGCAAAGGAGGAAGAGGCAGUGAGAUGGCAAAUAGGCAAGGCCACCAUCAGUCAUUGUCGUCACUGUCACCAUCGUCUUGCAGAUCAGCCACAAUCCUGCCUGCACAGAACAGAUGGGAUCUCACUUGGUUGCCCAGGCUCGACUCCAACUCCUGACCUCAAGGGAUCCUUCUGCCUCAGCCUCCUGAGUAGCUGGGACUACAGGCACGUACCGCUGUGCCCGGCUUGAAUUUAUUUAUCUUAUCACUGAAACUUUGUCCCCUUUGACCAGCAUCUCCCAUUUCCUCCACCCUCAGCCCCUGGUAAUCAUCAUUCUUUUCUCUGCUUCUAUGAGUUUGACUUUUUUAGAUUCCACAUGUAAGUGAGAUCAUGCAGGCAUCUGUCUGUGUGUCCCUGGCUUAUUUCACUGGGCAUAAUGUCCUCUCGGUUUGUCCAGGUUGUUCUGUCUCCUGACAGAUUCUUAUUCAUUCUUCAGAACUCAGCCAAGUCUUGCCUUCGGUGCGGCUUUCCCUGGCUCCCCUGGACUGCUCGCUCUCCUCUCUGUGCUCACCAGCUCUUGCUUCAAUCCUUGACUCCAGCACUUUCCAGACACUUAAUCCAAGCUUGCUAGAUGUGUGAGCAGGUACAGGGUGGAACCAGGUUGAUGCAACAAAUUGAUGGGCAUUACUGAUGAACCUGGGGUGAAAGUUCUGUGUGUACAUUUGCGGAAAGAUGUUGGUGUUUGGGAGAGGAUUUCUCCUGCUCAGGCUAAUUUCCGAAUGGCAAUUUCCCACUUGAUUAGCAUGAGCUCUAGCUAGAUAGGGAUAGGCCACAUGGGUCAAUGCCAUCUCUUUUGAAAAUCGUGACAGACUAUACUAGGUCUAAGUGAAAUUGUUAUCAAUAUUGAGGACUUUAGUGAUUAUUGCAGUGAUAUCCUCAAAUUUCUGCUUUUUUUUUUUUUUCCGCAGAGUGUCACUCUGUCACCCAGGCUGGAGUGCAGUGGCACAAUCUCGGCUCACUGCAACCUCUGCCUCCCAGGUUCAAGCGAUUCUUCUGCCUCAGCCUCCCAAGUAGCUGGGACCACAGACACUGUGGGAGGCUUGAGGCCCAUGACAUCAAUUUAGGCAUCCGGAGAAGGUAGGAGGCAGGGGAACAGGUAGGGGGAAGGUGUGGGGCCCUGCGUGUCUUGAAUGUCCCCUCCAAAGCUCAUGUUGAAACUUAACUCCCAAUGUGGCAGUAUUGAGACGUGGGGCCUUUUGGAGGUGAUUAGGUCUUGAGGGCUUUGCCUCCAUGAACGGAUUAAUCCAUUCAUGGAUUCAUGGAUUAACCAGUCCGUGGAUUGAUGGGUUAUUAUGGGACUGGAACUGGUGGCUUUGUAAAAAGAGGAAGAGAGUCCUGAGCUGGCCUACUCAGCUCCUCUGAUGUGACACCCUGCACCACCUCAGGACUCUGCAGAGUCCUCACCAGCAGGAGGCUCUCAUUAAACGUGGCCCCUCAGCCUUGGAAUUCCCAGCCUCCAGAACUGUACAAAAUAAAUACCUUUUCUUUUUAAAUCAUUCAGUUUCAAGUAUUCUGUUAUAAACAACAGAAAAUAAACUAUUACAGAAUCAUGGUGUGGAGAAAAAAAAUAACAAAAAGAAAAUGGACUAAGACAGACUCCACUGGAGAAGUAGUAGUUUUUAAUUGCUAUUAACAUAGGUCAGGUGUGGUGGCUCAUGCCUGUAAUCCCAGGAAUUUAGGAGGCUGAAGUGGAAGGAUUGCUUGAGGUCAGGAGUUCAAGACCAACCUGGGCAACACAGAAAAGCCCUGCCUCUACAAAGAAUUUUUAAAAAUUAGCCAGGCAUGGUGGCAUGUGCCUGUAGUCCCAGCUAUGUGGAAGGCUGAGGCGUUUAGCCACUUGAGCCCAAGAGUUCAAGGCUGCAGUGAGCUAUGAUUGUGCCACUGAACUCUAGCCUGGGCAACAGAGCAAGACCUUGUCUCUAAAAAUACAUUUUUUUAAAAAUUAUGAAAAUAGUGUGGGCAUGGUGGCUCACACCUGUAAUCCCAGCACUUUGAGAGGCUGAGGUGGGAGGAUCACUUGAGCCCAGGAAUUCAAGACCAGCCCAGCCAACGUGGUGAGAGCCCGUCUCUACAAAAAGUUUAAAAAAUAAUGAAAAUAAAAUAAUUAAAUAAUAAUAAUAAUAAUAACUAUAAAAAAAUUGAAAACAACAACAAUUCCUCACAGUGGGUAUCCUUUAAGCUGGAACAAAAGGAGAAGAUGCUAUGGUCUGAAUGUGUCCCCCCAGAAUUCAUGUGUGGAAGCAUGAUCUGCAAUAUGGUGGUAUUAAAGAGGAUGGGGCUUCGGGAGGUGAUUAGGUCAUGAAGACGCAACCAUCAUGAAUGGGAUUAGUGCUUUUGUAAAAGACAUCUGAGGGAGACUGUUUGCCGCUUCCACCAUGUGAAGGUGCAGGAAGGAGGCACCAGCUAUGAGGAAGAGGCCCUCCCCAGACGCCAGAAACUGCUGCACCUUGAUCCUGGACUUCCCAGCCUCUCCAACUUGGAGCAAUACAUUUCCACUCUUUAUAAAUGACCCACUCUAAAUUAUUUUGUUUUAGCAGCCCAAAGAGACUGACAGAGAGAAAAGUUUGAUGAACAGUUUAAAGUGGGGAAUAAGUAUAUUUUUGCAGAGAACUGUAAGGAGGGCAGCCUGUCUAAGGGGCAGGUAGGAGAUGGCAAGGAGGAUCUUCCUAGGGAAGGGUCAGGGAAAGGUGAGUGUCAGGCUGGGACAAGUGGAAACUAUGGAGUGUUCUUAGUUUGGGGCUGACAGUAAAAGCUGUGGAUCAGGAAGUGAAGUGCAUCGGUGCCCAGCAACCUCUUCUCACCCUAAGUUUUACCUGCUUUAAUGUCUCCAUGAAUAUGGUCCUAGGGGCAAUAUUGUUACUACCUGCUGUGCACAGUGUCUCAUAUAAACAAGGAACUUCCUUCGUCUAUGUUUGAAGUUUAUUUUGCAGGUAAUAGUGGGUUGGAUAUCCUGACCUCCAGGAGUUCACAUUCUUCAAUGCUUCAGGGUGGUCACGGCAAUUCUAUUAGGGUAUCUGUUCUCCACGACAGAUAUUUUUAGCAACAGAUAGCCUGAAUCCAUUCAAAGAAUGCACCUGUUGAUGGGAAUCCAGAUCUGGCAACCACACACUUUAAUUUCAAGAGUGCUCAAUCAGAGUGUGUGCUAGACUGUGGGACAGGACAGAAAGUCUACUGACUUCAGGCUCAGGCUCACAACAGCUGUUUUCCAAAAUUGGUAACAUGAAAGUGCUUCUAUUAAUGUGGAGAUUUUGGUUUGAUGGAUUCGUGGAAAUGAUCUGAUACAAAAAAGCACAAUUCCCUUCCCUCUCCCGUUUCUGUCUUGUCUUCCUCCUUCCUGCCCUUCCUCCCUUUCCUUAGCAAUAUAUUUUUUUUUUUUUUGAGACAGAGUUUCACUCUGUCACCCAUGCUGGAGUGCAGUGGCGUGAUCUCAGCUCACUACAACCUCCGCUUCCCAGGUUCAAGCAAUUCUCCUGUCUCAGCCUCCUGUGUUGCUGGCACUACAGGCACCUGCCACCAUACCUAGCUAAUUUUUAUAUUUUUAGUAGAGACAGGGUUUCACCUUGUUGAUCAGGCUGGUCUCGAACUCCUGACCUCAGGUGAUCCACCUGCCUUGGCCUCCCAAAGUGCUGGAAUUACAGGCGUGAGCCAUUGCGCCCAGCCUUCCUUAGCAAUAUUUUCUUUCUUUUUAAUUUCUCUUUUUUUUUUUUUUUUUUUGAGACCAAGUCUCGCUCUGUCACCCAGGUCUGCUCACUGCAACCUCUGCCUCCCAGAUUCAAGCAAUUCUCCUGCCUCAGCCUCCCGAGUAGCUAGGACUACAAGCACACGCCACCACGCCCAGCUAAUUUUUGUAUUUUUUUUUUUAUUAGAGACGGGGUUUCACCAUAUUGGUCAGGCUGAUCUUGAACUCUUGACCUCAUGAUCCGCCUGCCUCGGCCUCCCAAACUGCUGGGAUUACAGGUGUGAGCCACCAUGCCCGGCUGCAGUAUUUUCUAAAUGUCUCAUCUUGGAUUUGUUUUUACAGUGACAAAGAAGCCAAGCAAAGUUUUCUUCCUCUAUUAAAUGCAUAUUCUAGAAGGGAAGACAAACAAAUCAUAAACAAACUAGUAAAUAAUACAGUUUCAUAAAGUGAUGAAUGCUGGGAAGAAAGGGAGGCAGGAUAUGGCAGUGACCAGGGCCUGGAGGUAUUUUUAUUUCCCGUUUGGUGGACAGGGGAAGCACUCUGUGGAGGUCACAUCUGAGCAGAGACCUGAACUGGUGGCCGUGAUGGGAGUUUGCGGUGGAAAGCAUUGCAGGAAGAGGUGGAAAAGAACAAGCAUUGCUCUUUGAACAGCAUGAAGAUUGGGGUGGGUGGAGAGGAGGGGUCAAGGAGCAGAAGUGUAGGAUGAGGAGAAGCAGCCAGUAGCUAGAUCACCAGGGACUUGUAGGCUACAAUAAGGAUUUCAUAUUUUAUUCUAAGUGCAAUGGGAAGCUAUUGGUAGGAAUUAAGCAGGAGAGCAAGGCAAGCUGACUUACAGUUUAAGAAUACCCUGGCUGCUCUUGGAGAAUAUUCUGUAGUGGAGAAAGAAGGCUGUAGGAAGACCAGUGGCUUGGCUGUUGUAGAGUACAAGUGUAAGCUGAUGGUGGUCUGCAGUAUGGAGAUGGCAGUGGAAGCGGGGAAAGGUGGUAGGGAGGGCUCAGUAUGUGUUUUAAGAGAUCGAGAAAGGACUCAAUAAUCGUGGACUGGAUGCCCAGUAGGACAGAAAGAGAGGGGUCAAGGAUGACUCCUAGGUUUGUAUUUUGAGCAACUGGAUGAUUUAUGGGGCAAUUUUCUGAGAUGAAGAUGAUCGGGAGAGGAGACGGUUUAGAUUGGAAAAUUAAGAGCUCUGUUUUUAUAGUUUUAAGUGACUAUAUAGAAUAUUAAAAAGAUACAGCUGUCUGGAAUUUAAGAUAAAGAUCGGAGCUGGAAAUAAACUUUGGGAGUUACCAGCGUGUAGAUGGUAUUUAAAGCCAUUGAUCGAGAAGACAUCACAUGGGGAGGGAGGUGCUUGCCCUGAGGAAGAGACUGAGCUCAGAGACACUCCAAUAUUUAAUGGAUGAUGUUAAGAAUGAGAUGCUAACAGGGAAAAUUGAGAAGGAAUGGCCCGUGAAAUAGGAGGAAACUCAGAAGGGCAUGUUGUCCUGCCCACCAUAAUGUUUCAAAGAGGAACAAGUGUCAAAUCCUGCUGGGAAUAAACUGAGGACAGAUAAUUGAAUACUAGAUUCUACAUCAUGACCCUAACAUGAGCAGCUGCAGUUGAACAGUGGGGAUGAAAUUCUGAAUGAAAUGAAUUAAAAAAGUAAAGAAGUGGAGACAGCAAGUAGCAAUAGUUCUUUCAAGUUUUGCUGAGAAGGGGAGAAAAAAUGGGGAUGUAGGGUCAAGGGUGGAUUUUUCAAAUAGG